rnacentral:rRNA from 1 species
UACGUAGGGGGCAAGCGUUGUCCGGAAUCAUUGGGCGUAAAGAGCGUGUAGGCGGCUCGAUAAGUCCGCUGUGAAAGUCCAGGGCUCAACCCUGGAAGGCCGGUGGAAACUGUCGGGCUAGAGUCCGGAAGAGGCGAGUGGAAUUCCCGGUGUAGCGGUGAAAUGCGCAGAUAUCGGGAGGAACACCGGUGGCGAAGGCGGGUCUCUGGGCCGAUACUGACGCUGAGGAGCGAAAGCGUGGGGAGCGAACAGG